rnacentral:rRNA from 1 species
AUGGCGCCAGACAGCUCGACCACCCUGCGCUCGUCCAUCCAGCCGCAUCCGUCGUCGAUAUGCAGCUGCACCAUGCCGCCACCACUCGUCGUCAAUGACGCGGUUGAUACAACGCCGCACCACCUGGCAACCUCCACACCAUCGCCACUACUGGAGCUACUCGGAGCCCACCAUCCACGACAUCUCUCCCCGAACAGCAGUUCCUCCCAAGACGGCGCCUCCAUGGAGGAUACGACGCGCAGGACGCCGCCACCGCCCAAUCCAGACUGA